GAGUGUGUUGAAGAUCUUAUUUCCACAUCUGUUACCCUCCUGGUGGCUGGAGUUGAUUUAGCUGAUGAGGACAGCUAAGUGGUGUCCCCUUCCUUCUCUACUACUCCAUGCACAUCUCUCCUAAGGAUAAAUACUCAUCCUAAAACUAAGCACUUUGGGAUACAGAGGGCAAGCCACAUAAAUUAUUGUUUGGUUAGGAGAAAUUGGUAGCUACAUUCUCCCAUUUGAAUAUUUAAAUUUAAGACUCAAUUUUCUGUACUUACUUAAUCUUCUUUUCUCCCCCCCAAAAAAAUUACAUAUGAUAGCACAUUUUUAAAUACUAUUAUACUUGAUAACUAAAGUCUCUGU
ensembl:misc_RNA 7SK 7SK RNA